rnacentral:rRNA from 1 species
CUACGGGACGCAGCAGUGAGGAAUAUUGCACAAUGGGGGGAACCCUGAUGCAGCAACGCCGCGUGGAGGAUGACGCAUUUCGGUGUGUAAACUCCUUUUAUAUGUCAAGAAAAUGACGGUAGCAUAUGAAUAAGCACCGGCUAACUCCGUGCCAGCAGCCGCGGUAAUACGGAGGGUGCAAGCGUUACUCGGGAUCACUGGGCGUAAAGGAUGCGUAGGCGGGUUGGAAAGUCAGGUGUGAAAUCCUACAGCUUAACUGUAGAACUGCACUUGAAACUUCUAAUCUAGAGUAUGGGAGGGGGAGAUGGAAUUAGUGGUGUAGGGGUAAAAUCCGUAGAUAUCACUAGGAAUACCUAAAGCGAAGGCGAUCUCCUGGAACAUUACUGACGCUAAGGCGUGAAAGCGUGGGGAGCAAACAGGAUUAGAUACCCCUGUAGUC